CAGUAGCCGCGGUAAUACGUAGGGUGCGAGCGUUAAUCGGAAUUACUGGGCGUAAAGCGUGCGCAGGCGGUUGUGUAAGACAGGUGUGAAAUCCCCGGGCUCAACCUGGGAAUGGCAGUGGAUACUGGCUCGCUAGAGUGUGUCAGAGGAUGGUGGAAUUCCCGGUGUAGCGGUGAAAUGCGUAGAUAUGCGGAGGAACACCGAUGGCGAAGGCAGCCCCCUGGGCCAACACUGACGCUCAUGCACGAAAGCGUGGGGAGCAAACAGGAUUAGAUACCCGCGUAGUCCCUGUCUCUUAUAC
rnacentral:rRNA from 1 species